GCAAUCCAUUACUAGUCUCUUUGAUGUAAUUUCCAUUAGCACCAGAAGGCACCAACAAAGUCUUCCUCGAUACCAUGUCGAAUAUUUCUUGCAAAAGUUUGAAGAAGGCUGAUUCCACAUUGUGCCCGCUAAGAGCGGAUGUCUCAGAGAAAAAUAGCCCCUGCCUCUCUGCAAAUUCAACCGCGUCUUCAGUUGGAACUGCCCUCGAAUCUACUAGAUCAGCUUUGUUACCGAUCAACAUGAUCACAAUGGAACUAUCCGCGUGAGCCCUGAGCUCCUCAACCCAUCUAGCUACAUGAUCAAAUGUUUGUCUCUUUGUUAUGUCG
rnacentral:misc_RNA from 1 species